ACCUCACCCAUGUUAGGUGGCCAGGCAGGUGCCUGACACUGCUGUCCUCUGGGGAGGUGUAAAAUUUCCAUUAGAAAAAUGCAAGGAGGCUGGCCCUGGUGGCACAAACCUUAAAUCCCAGCACUCAGGAUGGAGAGACCGGCAGAUCUCGGAGUUUCAGGCUAGUUAGAACUACGCAGUAAGACCCCGUCUCAAAAACAAACAAACGAGCAAGAAGACGAAAAAGGAGGAGGAAGAGAACUAAGGUGAGGAGG
rnacentral:lncRNA from 1 species